rnacentral:lncRNA from 1 species
GUAAAAUGGACCAAUCAGCAGGAUGUGGGUGGGGCCAAAUAAGGGGAUAAAAAGCAGGCCAUGCGAGCCACCUGUGGCAACCCACUUGGGUUCCCUGCGAUGUUGUGGAAGGGUUGUUGUUUUGCUGUUUCCAGUAAAUGUUGGUGUUGCUCAGUUUUUGGGUCCACACUGUGUUUAUGAGCUGUAACACGCACUGCAAAGGUCUGCAGCUUCACUCCUGAGGUCAGCGAGACCAUGAACUCACCAACCUGCUGGGAGGGAUGAACAACUCCGGACGCGCCACGUUUAUGAACUGUAACACCACGAAGGUCUGCAGCUUCGCUCCUGAGGCCAGCACGACCAUGAACCCAUUAGAAGGAAUGAACAACUCCAGACGCGCUGCCCUUAGGAGCCGUAACACUCACUGUGAAGCUUUCACAGGAUCACUCUGGCUGCUGUGUUGAUCCUGGACUGUCAGGGUACAAAGGUAGAGGAGACAUUGCGGUGAUCCCAGGGCCCUGGAGAGAGGAGUGGCAGUGGAACUGAUGAGAGGUGCUCAGAUGCUGGAGAGAACUAGAGUGACUUGCCCAAGGUCACACAGCUAGUCAGCAGGAGAGCCAGGGAAAACCCCAGCUGACAUCUUUUCUUCUGGAGACAGUACAAGAUGACGUCUUUGGAGGGCUCUUCAAAUAAAGUAUGAUGCAAAUAAAAAGAUUUUGCCUUUUGGAAACUUCUUCCGAAACCCCUUAUGGUAUUUCAUCAAUCACAAAAAUGGGAAUUGAGUCACCUGCCCGAGCCCUGUAACCAGGACAGUUGUAGCACACGCUGAACGAUGGCCCUGACAGAUGUGACUGAGUCUCCCUCGCCUUCUGUUUUGUUUGUGUGUCCAGAACUCCUAUUUGUGAGAAAAUUGUAUUCCCUGCGCUUGAGUCCUGGUCUUCUGAGCUGACAUAAGGAACUGUAAGCAGUGGGGGCUGCCAUGCAGCAGGGCUCCAUCUGCCCCAAGUCUCUGUGACUGCUGCUCGCUGCACAGAGGCCCUGGGUGAUCAGAGGCUGCACCGGUGAACCUGUGCAGCCCCGCGCAUCCCGACAGGCCACACGUAAUUUCUGCCUCUCAGUGAAAUCUACCUGCAAGAUUUGCUCUUAUUUUCUCUGCAGCAAACAACAGGAUGAACUUUAUUUUCUCAUUGAAAACAAGGUGCCGGGAAGUGAUUGCGCACCCGUCGGAGAUGCACAGAGCCUUGGGCUUCAGACUCUCCCCUGAAGCCCCGAAAAGCCACCCUCAUUGACCACAUGUACUGAGUGCCCAUCCGAGCAGGACUGCAGGAGCGGCUGGACUGUCCAUGACCCCUAACAACCCACAUGUCCAGAGAUGGCGUUUCUGUCUUCUUGGGAGGGAGGCCUGUUGAGCUGCAUCUGCACCUCAUGAUGCCCGGAGUGGCACGUGGAGCUGCACCUGCACACUUGGCUUCUGGUUGCCGGGGUGCCCAGGGAGUUCACCAUCGGAUAGCAGCCCGCUGCCUGCCUCUCUCUGCCCUCCUGUGGGACACUCCUCGGCUCCCAUGACCUCUCGGAGCCCACAUUUGCCCUCCUGCUCACCUCACCAGGCCCUGGAAGUUGCAGGCUGCAGGUGGGCAAGGGAGGCUGCCACCACUGCUUGGGAUCCGGUCUCCUGGUGGCUGCCUGCAGAGACCGCCCAGAUAAGGGGACGAGGAGUUGGUGUCCUGUGAGACAAACUUCAGUCAAUGGCAGACAAGAGUCAGUGGAUGAAGUCUGCCUUCCUUCGUGGACUGUUUUAUGAUACUGUUUAUAGUUUAGUCAGCCUCUCCGGAGACAUCCUGUAAGGCAGAAAAAUCACGGUUUUGUGAGGAGCUCAGCAAUGCACUUGUGUUUGCUCUCCCUCCUUCCCUCCUUGCUCCUUCCUUCCUUCCCUGCUUCCUCCUUCCCCUUUCUUCCUUUUCUGCUUCCUC